GUGAGAGGCCAAGAGGGUGGGGAGAGGAAAGACACAAACUGUGACACUGAGAUCUGGAGAAUGGCAGUGGGGUUGGGAGUGGGUGGAGAACAGUACUGACGCCUCUUAAAGGACAGACCCACCUUUUCCAAGAGGAAAAUAUGGAAAGAGAUCCUGGAGAUCAUGUGGAAAUGACAAGUCAGAAGUCAGUCCUCCUAGGUAGAUUACCAGCAGAGCCUGGAGGGAAUGCACCUUGACAAAGUCCAUAGCUGCAGGCUUCAAGGAAUUAACCUCAUUCUGGAGGUAUCCCUAGUCCCAGCCUUCCUGGAAGUCACUAUGCAGACAAGACUGGCCUUGAUCUCCCAGAGAUUUGCCUGCCCCUGCUUCCUGAGGGCUGGGAUUAAAGCUGAAUGCCAUCACAUCCUGUGACAUGCUCUGUUCUUAAAGUGCUCCUGAAUUAGUGUGAAAGUGGGAUGAAGAAGAGAUGACCACAGACAGAGAGUCAAAGGAGGGAGGGAGGGAGGGAGGAAGGGAGGGAGAGACAUACAGAAACUGGGGUCAAAACAGAGAUGACUGACCUGUAUCUAGAGAGGGGUGUGGGCUCUGAGAGACGGUAACAUGUUAACCAGGUGCUAGAUCAAGCCACAUAUCCAAUGCAUAUCAGCUAUUUAAUAAAGGCUGGGGAGGGGUAGAUGGCCAAUGGGAAACAGAACCAUCCCAGUACAGACACUGUAGAGAAGUCUCAGGAGAGCCAAGAUUCUCCUGCGAGGGCAAUAUGAAAAACCAGGUCCUUUGGGGCUAAGCUGGAAUGGAAGCCAGUCACAGUCUGAGUGAACACUGGGCUUUUGUGUUUGGUGGGGUCUGUUAUUGUUGUUCUUUUGGGUUGUCAAGAAUAGGCUCUCUUAAGUCAGGCAUGGUGGUGCAUGCUUUAAAUCCCAGUACUCCAAAAAAAAAGUCUCUUAAAAAUUAUGUUUUCUUGUCAUCAUUAGCUGCUAUAAAUAUGAAUUCAACUCAUUUUUUUUUUUGUUUGUUGUAGAUUAAACCUAGGGCACUGUGCAUGUAGAGAAGCACUCUACCAGUAAACUAUACCCAGCCUAUUGAACUAAGUCUGUGUGUGUGUGUGUGUGUGUGUGUGUGGUGAAUGCAAAUGAGUCUGUGUGUGUCUGUGCAUGUACACUUGGGGACCAGAGCAAGAUGCUGGGUAUUUCCUGUUGUUCUACACCUAUUUCCUUGAGGCAGGGUCUUUCAUUGAACUGGAAACUUCCCAUUUCAGGUCAACUGUCUGAUUAGAGAGCUUCUAGGAUCUACCUGUCUCCACCCCCAAUGCUGGGUUACAGGCACUCACAGCCAUGCCUGACUUUGUAACCUACCACUUUGCUGAAAGUAUUGAUCUUUUCUAGCAGUUUUAUGGUGGAAUUUUUGGGAUCUCUUUUGUAUAAAAUCAUACCAUGUAUAAGUAGUGAUAAUUUGAC